rnacentral:lncRNA from 1 species
AUUUUAUUUUAUUAUUUUUUAUUUUUUACAGCAGAAUAAGAAAGCUAAGCAAAAGACAGCUGUAAAGCGUUCUUCCCUCACUAAACUGAAGGAUGGGCUAUAAUUCUGCAACCUCCUUUGAGAUGGAGAUAUCCUGGAUACUUAGCUCAGCGGGAUGUUUGAGAAUGAAUGUGAAUUCUUCCACAAGGAUGAGAGCAAACAGAUAACUUUAUUUUCAUGCACAACUGUGAUUAAAAUGUAUAUAUAAAUAUGAACCCAGAAAAGAAUAAUGAAAUUGAUAUCCCCCCCACCCCUCCCUCUGAAAUUAAGUGGACUCAUCAAUAGAAAAGGUAU